rnacentral:rRNA from 1 species
AUGGCUUCUUCUUCCUCGUCGGUGCUGCUGGUUGCGGUGGUGUUGGCCGCGGUCGUGUGGGGCGCGCACGGCAUCCCCAAGGUUCCCCCGGGCCCCAACAUCACGGCGUCGCCUGCGAGCUACGGCAACAAGUGGCUGGACGCCAAGACCACGUGGUACGGCAAGCCGACGGGCGCCGGGCCCAAGGACAACGGCGGCGCCUGCGGGUACAAGGAGGUGGACAAGGCCCCCUUCCACGGCAUGACCUCCUGCGGCAACAUCCCCAUCUUCAAGGACGGCCGCGGCUGCGGCUCCUGCUUCGAGCUCAAGUGCACCAAGCCAGAGGCCUGCUCCGGCAAGCCCACCAUCGUCACCAUCACCGACAAGAACGAGGAGCCCAUCGCCCCCUACCACUUCGACCUCUCCGGCCACGCCUUCGGCUCCAUGGCCAAGAAGGGCGAGGAGCAGAAGCUGCGUGACGCCGGCGAGGUGGAGAUCAAGUUCCGGCGCGUCAAGUGCAAGUACCCGCCGGGCACCAAGGUGAACUUCCACGUGGAGAAGUCCUCCAACGAAAACUACCUGGCGCUGGUGAUCAAGUUCCUCCAAGGCGACGGCGACGUGGUGGGCGUGGACAUCAAGCAGAAGGGCGAGGACAAGUGGACCGAGCUCAACGAGUCGUGGGGAGCCGUGUGGAGGAUCGACACCCCCCACAAGCUCAUCGGCCCCUUCUCCGUCCGCUACACCACCGAGGGCGGCACCAAGACGACCGUCGACGACGUCAUCCCCAAGGGCUGGAAGCCCGACACCUCCUACGAGGCCAAGGGCGGCUACUGA